GUGGGGAAUAUUGGACAAUGGGCGAAAGCCUGAUCCAGCCAUGCCGCGUGUGUGAAGAAGGUCUUCGGAUUGUAAAGCACUUUAAGUUGGGAGGAAGGGCAGUAAGUUAAUACCUUGCUGUUUUGACGUUACCGACAGAAUAAGCACCGGCUAACUUCGUGCAAGCAGCCGCGGUAAUACGAAGGGGGCGAGCGUUAUUCGGAAUCACUGGGCGUAAAGCGUGCGUAGGCGGUUUUGUAAGUUAGGAGUGAAAGCCCAGGGCUCAACCUUGGUAUUGCUCUUAAAACUGCAAUGCUCGAAUCUCGGAGAGGAUAGCGGAAUUUCCAGUGUAGCAGUGAAAUGCGUAGAUAUUGGAAGGAACACCAGUGGCGUAAGCGGCUAUCUUGACGAGUAUUGACGCUGAGGCACGAAAGCGUGGGGAUCAAACAGGAUUAGAUACCCCAGUAGUCC
rnacentral:rRNA from 1 species